UUUUGGGGAACCUAAAAAAAUUUUGGGACCUCCAAAAAAAUUUUGGGGACCUCCAAAAAUUUUGGGACCUCCAAAAAAUUUUGGGGACCUCCUUGGUGGCCUCCAGAAGGUGUCGAGGCCAAAUUUUGGGUGACAAAAAGGAGGCCAAGGACUUCCAAAAAAUUUGGGGGACCUCCAAAAAAAUUUGGGGACCUCCAAAAAAUUUUGGGGAACCUAAAAAAAUUUUGGGGACCUCCAAAAAAUUUUGGGGACCUCCAAAAAGACCUCGGUGGCCUCCCCGGGCGAGCGGAGGCCCGAAAAGGAGGCCCCACGUUUUUGGGGUGAAAAACGCGGUU
rnacentral:lncRNA from 1 species